CCAAUAGUACCUCCGGCUCCUGGUUUACACCGAAUCAUUCCUUCAGCCAUUGAAGGUUGAGCACAAUACUCUGGAAUUCCUCGAGUUUUCCAGUUGGGUAGAGUUUUUGUCAAAGAGUUACAUUUCCAGUCAGGUUCUUGCGACAAAACCUCACAUACUACUUGUUCGUUUUCUAAACGGUGCACUGAACAUGUAGAAUAUGUGACAUGGCGGCAGUUAGGAAAUUGUAAAGCAUGCUUUAAAAUGGUAGACUGAAAACUACACAAAUUUUCAAGUCUUUCGGUAUCUUCCGUAACGUCUUGUUCAUUACCCAGCAGAUAGUCUUGACGACUCACAAUUCCAGAACCAGAACAAGAAGGAUCAAGCAGGAUAUGAGUGACAUUUCGGUAAAGAUCACUCUUGGGAUCAGUUAGGGUAAAAUCUUGAUGUUCGAUGGUGACAUUAUUAGCGCCUGAUAUUCCCACCAUUUUUCGAAGUGUCUGCACUCUUUUCGCGUCACGUUCAAAUGCAAAUAUAUGAGAUUUUGGAAAACAAGCAGCUAAAUGAGUAGUUUUGUUCCCUGGAGCAGCACAUCCAUCUAUUAUAUCACCAACGUGACCAGUUAGCCCGGCCAAUACAGCAGCAGGAAAACAAGAUGCCUUGUCCUGAAUAAUCACUUUCCCCUCCUUGUACAAUGAAUUUUCAACUAUAGGAAAUGAUGGAUCGAUGGCUAUUAAGUUUUCAACACAAUCAUCAAUAUAAAAUUUGUCGGGGCCCAGUUCCUCAAUUGAACUGACUUUAUCCAAGCCUAAACCUUGCAAAACCUCGUCUUUUGUGCUUUUAAUGGUAUUUAUUCGAAGCCAGCGAGGGAGCGACACAGGAUUUUUCAAUGCCAGCUCCUCAUGGCUCUUAACCCCUUUUUUCACCUUGAGUUUGACAAACUCGGCGUUCAGGCGUGUCUUGUGACGAAGAAUGCAUUCCUUGAUAGGACCAUUUGAAAUGGAUAACCCUCGCUUUGACAUCAGUAAAUCAUGGACAAGGACUCUAGCCAAAUUUUCUUUUAACUACAAUAACCAGGUUAGCUUCAAAAAAUUACGAAACAACUAUCGUUUCAUUAAUUUGUACCUUUUUCUCUAAAACUAAUAACUCGGAUCGCGCAAUUAUUUCAUCCAAAACAGGUUUAUCUAUAUAAAAGAAGAAAGUUAGUCAAAUCGUUUAUAUUAAAGUUUUACUAUUCUUGUUUACAUUUGAGAGUUUCGCAAACCAAAGCAUAAGUGCGUUUUGGAUCAUGUUUUUUUGAAUUAAAUGCUAAUUGCUUAAUUGAUCCUUUUUUUUUACUUAAAUCUGAAAGUAUGUUGGCAGCAUGAUUAUAAAAAUCCAUAUCGAGGCAAGAUCCUCCUCGGUAUGAGUAGUGGAAAAGCUGCUGCACAAAACUGAGUACCUUACUCAGGU